AAACUAAUGAUAUUUCUGUACGUUUAGGAGGUUGUCUACUAAAAGUGGGAGUUUGUACGGGUGGGUGUGCCGGUUCAUCACCUAAGUUAUGGCAGGACUAGUAGGUGUAUCAUCUAAAUCUACUGGAGCUUGGGUUUCAUGUUCAUCAUCAUCCUCAUUUCCCUCUAAGAUAGGUGCAUUAGGAUAAAGAGUAUUCAUAAUAUCAUCGUAUAUUCUAUCACCAACUGCUACAUCUUGUAGAAAAUCAAUAUCGCUAAAUUGAAAACAAGGGUGAUCACUAUCAAGGAUUUCGAAGGGUUCAU
rnacentral:lncRNA from 1 species